rnacentral:rRNA from 1 species
AUACGGAAGGCAGCAGUAGGGAAUAUUGCUCAAUGGGCGAAAGCCUGAAGCAGCAACGCCGCGUGUGUGAUGAAGGCCUUCGGGUCGUAAAGCACUUUUCUGGGAGAUGAGAAAGGACAGUAUCCCAGGAAUAAGUCUCGGCUAACUACGUGCCAGCAGCCGCGGUAAAACGUAGGAGGCGAGCGUUAUCCGGAUUCACUGGGCGUAAAGCGCGUGCAGGUGGCGCGGUAAGUUGGGCGUGAAAUCUCCCGGCUCAACUGGGAGAGGUCGUUCAAUACUACCGUGCUUGAGAGCAGAAGAGGAAGAUGGAAUUCCCGGUGUAGUGGUGAAAUGCGUAGAUAUCGGGAGGAACACCAGUGGCGAAGGCGAUCUUCUGGUCUGUUUCUGACACUCAGACGCGACAGCUAGGGUAGUAAACGGGAUUAGAUACCCCGGUAGU